rnacentral:tRNA from 1 species
GCCGCUAUAGCUCAGUGGUAGUGCACUGGUCGUAAACCAGGGGUCGUGAGUUCAAACCUCACUGGCGGCA